GUACAGCAGAUCAUUCAAGACAUGCUGAGACAUGAAUUACCAUUUCUACCACAUAAGAAAGUUACAACAUCCUAUGUUGAAAAUGGACUAGAAGAUACUGAUAAUAAUAUUGGAUUUAUGCGAUAUGGACAUGUUUGUCAGAUCACUUAAGGCAUGCAGAAACAUGAAUUCACAUUUCUACCACUUACGAAGGUAUCAACAUCCUAUGCUGAAAAUGGACUAGAAGAUACUGCUAAUAAUAUUGGGUUUAUGUAAUGUGCGUGUAAUGGUUAUUGAAUAUAAUUGACAGUAAAUUAAUGGCA